GCCCGCAUGGCUCAGAGGUAGAGCGCAUCACUAGUAUCUAUAUUCCACAUCUUAUGAAAUGUUUAUUCAAGGUCAAUGAUGAGGUCGUCAGUUCGAUUCUGGCUGUGGGCA